rnacentral:rRNA from 1 species
AGAGGCCUACGGGGCGCAGCAGUGGGGAAUACUGCACAAUGGGGGGAACCCUGAUGCAGCGAUGCCGCGUGGAGGAAGAAGGUUUUCGGAUUGUAAACUCCUUUUAUCAGGGACGAUAACGACGGUACCUGAAGAAAAAGCUCCGGCUAACUACGUGCCAGCAGCCGCGGUAAUACGUAGGGGGCAAGCGUUAUCCGGAUUUACUGGGUGUAAAGGGAGCGUAGACGGCGCGGCAAGUCUGAAGUGAAAGGCAGGGGCUUAACCCCUGAACUGCUUUGGAAACUGCCAUGCUAGAGUGCUGGAGA